rnacentral:rRNA from 1 species
CUUUUCUUGUUUUUAUUUGAAGUAUGGCCUGCCCACUGAUUUUAUUUAAUGGCCGCGGUAUUUUGACUGUGCGAAGGUAGCAUAAUCAUUAGUUUUUUAAUUGGAAGCUGGAAUGAAUGGCUAGACAAAAUACUUGCUGUCUUAGUUUUUAAUUAAUUUAUAUUAGAAUUUAAUUAUUAUGUUAGAAGGCUUGAAUUUUUUUAUGGGACGAUAAGACCCUAUAGAGUUUAAAAAUAUAUAAUUAAUUUUUGGUUGGUAAUAUAUUUUUUGGUUAUUUAUUUUUUGGUUGGGGUGAUUUUUGGAAAUGUUUAACUCUUUUUGGUUGUAAUUACUUAUUUGUAUAUUUUUAUGAUCCAGAAUUUAAUGAUUAAAAGAUAAAAUUACC